GACUUGGUCUAAGCUCCUCAGUGUCAUGUGAACAAACCUGAGGAGUUUAGAGCAAGUAAA
rnacentral:pre_miRNA from 1 species